CUAGUAUUAUUUUGUCAGAGAGAGACUUCCGCCCAAGGCUUUACCGCGUGACUGUGUUUAACCAAUAAAACGUAGCCCUUGCCGCGCAGUCUCGCCACGUGAUACGCAAUCUCAGCGGCGGGACGGUUUAGUUUAGCGGCUAGUGUUGUCGAUAUCCACCGUCUUCGAUAGCAAACAAUAGUAGAAUCAACAGUUGGCGAUGCAGACGAGGACGAGGAGACACACCCCUGGACUCAUACUGAAAGCAUGUUUAGUUUAUAAACAGUGCGAAACAGCAGUUACGUCAUGCGGCGUCUUUUGUGUCUCCCAAAACAAACGGAUAUUUCAGCAUUCAAAAAGUCAUCGUCUAACCUGAGGAAAUAUGUUGCAGGUUGCUGACAGAUGCUAAAUCUUGCAUCAAUCCAUGGACCUAUCGUCUGAUGCCACACCCUUCCCCUCCUCGUCACCAUCGACCUCCCCACAACGAUUCUCCUCUUGGAUGUAGGGCUGAAGUGUGACCUCCUCCCACCCCCACAUCCUCUGCCCCACCAUCAUGUAGCCACUGCAGCAAAGCUAUCUGCUGCUGAUGCCGUGGAGCUGAUAACGGCUUCUUUCAUCUAUCACUUUGCAGCACAAAAGGGGCCGAGGCAUUGAUCGAACCCCAGCGGGCUGACGGCCGCUCAACAGGCGGCUUUUUACACCUGCAACACAAGAGACACAGGGUUUGACAGGGAGGACCUGGAUUUAACUCCAGCUCCUGAUACGAUGCCCAGACUGACGGCCUGUUUAAGCUGUGACAAAGAGAAAACAGCGAACAAACGCUGUUUCUUAAGGCAAGGUCUGUUGGAGCUGGUGACAUCAUACAUUUACCUUCCAAUGCCAUCCUCUUAUCCAUAGUGCAUAAAAAAAACAAUGAUGUCACUCAGUGUGUCCCGUUCAUCUUAGAGUUGAACUGUAGGGGCAUCACUACCAUUUACUGGGCUGGAGUGUGGGCAUCAGUGUGUGCCAAACAAUUCAGUGUGUUACCAUGAUGCAAAGUACAGGGAUGGUCCAUGUCAGAAGAAAAAGAAAGAAAAAGAGCCAACGUCUUCAAAGAAGAAAGCUGCAAUUAACAGGGAAUUCCAGGAGUUCAACUUCAAAUAUGGAUUUAUUACGACAGGUUCUUCCUACGCACCGAGCCUGUGCUGCAUAAUACACGGCUAGCGGCUCUGUAAUGAGGCGAUGAAGCCUUCAAAACUGCUUCGCCACUUGAAGAACAAGCGUUCUGCCUUAAAAGACAAAGACGAUCCUACGAAGACGCUGCUAAUACAGUUGCAUACACAGUGAUGUAACGUUUAUUAUUAUAUUUAGAAAAUAACCAUUCUUAUGCCAGUUCUAUCCUUUUACUUUGUUGUAUUUAUCUGCAAUACCUUAAAGACCGAUCCGUGAAAAAACUUGUCAGAGAAGUCCGUGGCGCAAAAAAAAAAAGGUUGAGGCUGUUCUACAGCACUCUCAGAUCAACAACAAUCUAAAAAGACUGAAAAUGCAGCACUGGGCUGAACAGCAGGGGGCGGUGAUUGCAAUCAGUGCCGAACAAGAACAGGUGAAGAGGUGAAUUGCAGCCAACAGCAAAACUGGAGCGGCUACACCCAACUGUGACACAAAAACACGUGUACACAGAGGGUGCUACAAACAAACGUCUUUGACCGUGUUCAUGAGGAAGUAAAUCUGGACUGUGGGACAUGGAGUGGUCUGGCGGGUAGUUGGCUGCAGCUCUUUCAUUGGAUGACCCUUGGUGAUGUAACUCAACCAGGGACCUGAUUAAG